UGGAGAGUUUGAUCCUGGCUCAGAGUGAACGCUGGCGGCGUGCCUAAUACAUGCAAGUCGAACGGACAAGUAAGAGCUUGCUCUUAUGAGUUAGUGGCGCACGGGUGAGUAAUGUAUAGCUAAUCUGCCCUACACUAGAGGACAACAGUUGGAAACGACUGCUAAUACUCUAUACUCCUCUCUAGCAUAAGUUAGAUAGGGAAAGUUUUUCGGUGUAGGAUGAGGCUAUAUUGUAUCAGCUAGUUGGUGAGGUAAUGGCUCACCAAGGCUAUGACGCAUAACUGGUCUGAGAGGAUGAUCAGUCACACUGGAACUGAGACACGGUCCAGACUCCUACGGGAGGCAGCAGUAGGGAAUAUUGCUCAAUGGGGGAAACCCUGAAGCAGCAACGCCGCGUGGAGGAUGACACUUUUCGGAGCGUAAACUCCUUUUGUUAGGGAAGAACAAUGACGGUACCUAACGAAUAAGCACCGGCUAACUCCGUGCCAGCAGCCGCGGUA
rnacentral:rRNA from 1 species